GGGGAGGAAACAGAGCAAAUGGCUGCCUCCAAGGUUGGAGAGACAAGGAAGCUUAUCGAAUCAAAGACUCACGAGCAGAAACCACUGUGGGAACCAGUGCCAAGGGUGUUUGUCUAGGCCAGAAAAAUACAUAUACAUGGAGGCCCGUGGCUCAGAAUGGAAAGUUUGGAAAAGAUCCUUUCUACAACCAGACUUUUGAUAAAAGGCGGAGUAUUUCAGGGAUGAGAAGAGGAACAGAGCAUUUCUAGGCUGUAAUCCCAUUUUCUUUCUUGGAAAUCAAUCCAGAUUGACACAGAUGAGGAUAUAUCUUAAGUGAAGAAAAAAAGAAAGAAGAAAGGAUCAUUCUCUCUCAGCCUGAAAACCUACAGAUCAAGCACACAACAGGUCUUCGCAAAGAAAAAACAGGAGUCACAGAGAGAAGAUGGACGGCACUAGACUCCUGGAGACCAUCUGCGGACCAGAGCAGUGACUGGAAAGCAGGGCUCUCACAAGAGAAAGCGAGAGUGAGCAAGCACCAACCCCUAGAGACCAACCUGGAUCAAGGUGUAAAUGUUACAUUCCUAUAUCAGGGAAUGAGACAUAACCUGAUAACUUGAUGCCACAUCACCUCCCAGAGGAUAGCAAGCUGCAGCCCGUGUGGUGGUAUAAGGAAGAAUCAAGGUGUG